AGACUCCUCCUGGCUAUCUUCAGAUCAAGAUGUAGAACUCCCGGCUCCUCCUGCCCCAUGUCUGCACACUGCCAUGAUGAUAACAGACUGAACCUCUGAAACUCAACCUCUCAGCGGUAGUCCCAAUAAAAAGAGCUAUCAUUUACCGUGCACCCAGCAGCAUGCCAGGAUCAGCGGCAGCAAGUGUUCUGUACACCUCGCAUCUUUGUGUGCAUCAGACAUGUUGUAUCACUGAAGCCCACGAGGGUGGCUCUCUACAGAGAAGGAAAUAAAACUGAAUGAGGUUAAACCAGGCCACAGACCUUUGUGAUGGAGGGCAGGACCAGGACUUAAACCCAAGUGGACUCAGGUCAACUGCCCCAGUCCACAGAUGGAGCUCCUCACAAGGUCAAUUCAGCUUGUCCAUUUCACGUCCAUGUCAGCCUGAUGAGCUACUGUUUGGGGGAUGGUGAGUCCAGCCAGCUUGUCUAAGCAAAGAAUUCCUUCAGCACCAGGAGCACUGAUUUUCUUCACAUCCAGCUCACUAGACAGAACCCCAGGGGGCAAACCUAUGUUUCUCAGUCUUGCAUUCACAAGCUGGGGACAUUUGGUACUAACGCGCAACAGUUCUCCCUCAAAGAUACAAUGUUGCAGUUUGCCUUCGAGCGGAAUCCGACUCUCUCUGGAAGUAUUGGCUGAACAGCUCAAUCCUUUAUGGAUCAAAGACAGGUCAUUGACAUAGGAUACUUUACAAAAAAAAGAUGGAAGUCACCCAGGAAAGUCACCUGGGGCCUUCUCCAGGAUGUAUACUCACAACUUUCUAGCUGCAGCUUGCAGGUCUGUGUGUCCAUGGGGUAUUUAGACAGAUCCAUGUUACAUGUAACUGUUGUUGUGAUUCUAAAAAGAAAAAGAAAAGAAAAAAAGAAAAAAAAAGAAAAAGAAAUAAAACAAAUAAGCGGGCUCAGAAAGGGAGCUGCCAGGAGA
rnacentral:lncRNA from 1 species